GUAGAGGAGAUGGCGCAGGGGACACGAGCUAAAAUGGGGGGCUCCUGGGACCCCCCAACAUGUGUCCUCUUCUCCCUCCUCCCAG
rnacentral:pre_miRNA from 1 species